GAGGCAGUGUGGUUGUUACAGUGGGCUCCAGACUCACAAAGAGUACAGCCAGCGGGCCAGCAGGCCGUGCACUGCACCUGAUACGAUGAGGGCAAACAAGACUCCCACCCAGACCAGACAACGCAAGUCACCUAGACAGCCAAAAGCAAAUCCAAGGGCAGGCUCAGAACCCGCAACCACAGGGGAAUUUGCAAUUAGACUCCCCAACUGGCGAAAGUCCUCGGAACCCCACCAGAAGGCCGACAAGCAAAUACUGCAGUAAGUUCUCAACAGCUGUUAAGAACUUGAUGAGAUACAACAAGCAAAUACUGAUAAGAACUAGAUGAGGCCUGAGUGAGCUUGUGCGCAUGAAUAGCUACAUUGCAUUGCUCAGACAGACGAAGCCACAUAGGCCGCAAGCCACUUCAGCAUAGUUGCGCCUGCGAUCGGCCAUAGCCCGCAGACGCGGACGCCGCAAAUGCUAUCUGUUUACACCCUACAGGCGUGGUUCACGUACGUAUUCGCGUAUAUAGAAUAUCAUAUAGAAAAUUUGCGUGUUCCUUGCGACUUGCGACUUGCGAGUUGCGACUUGCAACUUGCGACUUGCGACCUUAGCAGUACGCAAGAGUGCACUUCGCCUCGCACCCGCAAUUUGUUAUGCAAGCAGCCAUAAUAAUAAUAAUAUAACAAUAAUUAUAAUAAUAACAACAAUAAUAAUAAUAAUAAUAAUAAUAAUAAUAAUAAUAAUAAUAAUAAUAAUAAUAAUAAUAAUAAUAAUAAUAAUAAUAAUAAUAAUAAUAAUAAUAAUAAUAAUAAUAAUAAUAAUAAUAAUAAUAUAAUGCAUGUUCCAAGAUUUCCAAAUUUGCUGACGCCUGAAUCCACUGUCCUGAUCUCCGGCCAACUGUACAGGCCCCCAGCAGCGCUGUGGAGGAAUAUGUGGAGAAGCUGCAGUUCCUUGGGGAGGUCCGGGAGCCGGAGGAGCGGCGCGCGCCUUGCAUAAUAUGGUCUGCUGCUGCCUCUUCUCAUGGACGCGGGCGUGGCAUGGCAUGCGGUGGUUGGUCUGCAUGAUGAUGCUUGUGAUUUCCCAAGAAUCAACUGGUAGCUAGUAGGGGGGCUUCCAAUGUACGUGUACCCACACAAAAUACAGCGCUGCAUGAAGCGUUAUCGCCAGCCUUGCACAGUGGCAUGCAGUGGCGCCUUUUUAAGGAGGGGCUGCCGUAACAGUGUUUGGAGCCACCUCCAAUCUGACAGUGUGAUUAGCAGGUUUCGUUACCGCCGGUGCAGCUUCCUGCUGCCAUGUUUGUUCUGUUACAUAUCGAUCCGGGAGCGACCGUAGCGGGAAGAGAGGGGGUUGAGGGGCCACAGUCCCCUCCUGCCCGACAAAGGGCUCGCGACCUGAUGUGGAUGUUUUUGGGCGAGGCCCCGGGCGCGAAGCGCCAUUCGGGGGGCCGAGCCCCCCGGGUUCACUGCUGUCAGUCAGUCAGUCAGUCAGUCAGUGGCUUACAUAUCUCGCCCCGCAAAAAAUAGCGUUUGAAUGCUAUAUCCCUUCUAUAUCGAAAUGCCAAAGGAGACAUUCCAGAUAAAUCGGAGCGCGAAGAUAGCUUUCCAUGGCUCCGAGUUUGACAUAAAGUUACAUAUCUCGCUCCGCAAAAGAUUGAAUGUAGAAGCUAUAUCUAUUCUAUAUCGAAAUGCCAAAGGAGAUAUUCCAGAUAAAUCGGAGCGCGAAGAUAGCUUUCCUGUAAGUGGCUGCACCGGGGCCGAGCCCCUUUUCGGCUUUAAAAAGCCGGCCCCCUAGUCGUGUUACGUUGGUGGAAUUACAUCGUAGCUCGUACCAGCAGCUCGUCACUGACGUCACUUGGUGGAGCAGUGUGUCUGGCGGCGAGGGCGAAGUUUUCUAGUCUGGGGAUGCCAAUGGGGGGACGACCGCCCUCCAUUCUAUUCACCGGUGUACACACACACACACACACACACACACACACACAUACACACACGUGCUGUCAGGUUCCGGUCAUGGCUACAAUUCUAGGGACUGCCAGAGCAAUCAUCGACAAAACCCAAGCACUGUCGGCGCAGCCAACACAUACUGGGAAUCCACCGACAUUCCGAAUCCGGGGCUGGUGUGUGUAACGCAGCACGGCACUUUACAGGCCGAAGCCAAACUUAAACCCGCCACCCGAACCCGAAUCCGGCGUGCCGCGCUCGCCACCGGGCCCACCAAAGCUGAAACCGAACGAGAAGCCGCCGCCAUCAUUAUUACCACCGCAAUUGCCACACGCCCCAAUGCCGUCACUUGCGGCGGCCCUGGGCCCCCUGUCGCCCUCUGUCGCUUCAGCCACGUGACCGUUGCAAUGCCGACCAGCAACACCGUUGGCACAACCACCUCCGCCAUUGCGGCUGCUACCGAUAGCGUGUGGCUGCGAAUCGGGGGCGCGGAACAGCGCAGCCAGCCUGCGGGAUACGCGGGUUCGUUAGGAGUCGGGGGAGGCUGAUGUAGAAGGGGCACGUGUGUCGCUGUGUGCAUGAUGGAUGCUGAUCC
rnacentral:lncRNA from 1 species